UCCUUCUUAAUUUCCCCAACACAGAAUUCCAAGUUCAAGUUAACUUGUCUAGAAAUUCUCCAGUUCCUCGCUUGCCAAGUAUGGAAUAAAAUUAUUCCUUCAAUUGUUACUGCAACUUCUUUUAUGAAUUGCUUCCAAUGCCUCCUUCUAAUCCACUGUAUUAUCCAUGGUAUUGCCAUAUCAGGUAGACUGAUGUCUGCCCAACUAGUUAGCUCAUCACUCGUAUUUUUUACCAAACAACAGUCCCCAAACAGAUGUUGAUGUGCCUCCAGUACUCCCAGAUUACACAUGCAACACUCAGCAUCUCCUGUGAUAGGGAUGUGCAGUUGUAACUGUCUUCUCUUUUUGUUUGCAUAUUUUUUUGAUAUGCCAGCCACAAUACAAAUCUAUGCCUUGGUAACAUCAUCCUGUUCCAUACUAAAUUUAUUUUCCAACAUCUUGACAUAUUCCCUAACAUUACAUUAUAGUUGCUAGAGACAGAAUAAGCUCCAUUACUAGUCAACCCGUAUGUAUUUCCAUUGUACUAUUGUAUCAUGUUAUGCUUUAAACCAUUAAUCUUCUUCCAAUACCAACUACAGUCAGAAGGUGGAUUGUGAUCCCAAAUAUUCCUGCACGACUUCAUAUAUACACCAUGUACCCAUCUCACCCACAAUAUUUCCAUGUUUGUUACUAACUGCCAUAGUAAUUGACCAUCAAAGCUAUAUUCCAAAUUUUUUACCUCUUAAGAUUUAGACCUCCAUAUAUCUUUGCUCUACAUAGUACAUCUCAUGCUACCAAUUGCAUCUUUCUAUGCCCUUUUGUACUGCCCCAUAGAUACUUUAUGCAUUUCAUGUCUACUGUUUUGAUAACACUUUAAGGGGGUAUAAAAAUAGCCCCCCAAAAUUGUAUAUUGCAAACAACACUUCAUUAAUGACUUACAAUCUACUUGCAUAUGAUAACUGUUUUGCAUAACGUGACUGAAUGUUUAUUAUAAUCUUCUCCACUAGAUGAUGUCAUUUUAUUUUGCUCUACUUCUUGGAUGUCAAAGGUAGCCCCGUGUAUCUCAUAGUUAAUGUAUCCACCGAGAACCAUG
rnacentral:lncRNA from 1 species